rnacentral:misc_RNA from 1 species
CACACACACACACACACAGAGGAAGGCUAUGUUAUGUGAGUAAUGGACCAUUACCAUUACUUGAUGGUAAUGGGUGUAACGUGCUUUUUUUUUCCUGUAAAUAAUAGGGAAAAUGGUAAUGAGGGCCUUUAAUUUUUUAAAAUAACGACUGUUACAUUAUAUAACGGUAGUUAUUUAAAACCAUGUUUCCAUUAGCCGUGACCACAAUUUAAAUCUAUGGCUGAGCGUAGAUGAGUUAGACUUGGG